rnacentral:rRNA from 1 species
GGGGUAAAAAUUAAAAAUUAAGUAAAUAAAAAAAAUAUUUUUAUAUAAUUAUAUUUUAAUGGGGGUUAAAGUAUAUUUUAUAGAAAAAAUUGAAAUUUUUAUAGUGAAUUAGUAUUGUGAAAGAAUUCUGAAAUAUUUUAAAAAUUAAUUUUUUAAAAAGUAAAUUUUAAUUAUUGUAUCUUGUGUAUCAGAGUUUAUUAAUAGAAAUUUUUAGUAAAAAAAUUCUCGAAUUUAAAAGAGAUAAUUAAUUAUAAAAGUUAUUGUAGCAAAAAUAUUUUUAAUAAUUAAUUUGAAAUGAAAUGUUAAUCGUUUUUAAAUAUAUCUAGUUUUUUUAGAAAUAAAUUUAAUUUAAAAUUUAAAUAAAAAAAAGUUAAAUAUUUAACUUUUUUUUAUUUAAAUUUAAUAUUUUAAGGGAUAAGCUUUAAAUUAAAAAAUUAUAAUUUUAAAUUAAAAAAAAAUAAAUUUUUUAAAAUUUAUAUUGUUUAUAAAUUAUAUUUUUUUAUAAAAAAAUUUAUUGAAAAAAUAAUUUUUAUUAAAAUUUAAUUUUUUAUAAAAAAAUAUUUUUUAAUAAUUAAAAAAUAGUUAUAAUGAUAAAAUUAGUAUAAAAAUAAUAUUAUAAUUAAUUAUAUUUAUAAAAUAUAAAUAUUAAUUAAUAUAAUAAAUUUAAAUAUAAAAAUUUAUUUUUUUUUAAUUAAAUUAAAGGAACUCGGCAAAUAUUUAUAUUCACUUGUUUAACAAAAACAUGUCUUUUUGAUAAUAAUAUAAAGUCGAAUCUGCCCACUGAUAAAUUUAUUAAAGGGCUGCAGUAUAUUGACUGUACAAAGGUAGCAUAAUCAUUAGUCUUUUAAUUGAAGACUUGUAUGAAGGAUUUGAUGAGAUAUAAACUGUCUCUAAUUUAAAUUUAGAAUUUAAUUUUUUAGUUAAAAAGCUAAAAUAUGUUUAAAAGACGAGAAGACCCUAUAGAGUUUUAUAAUUAAAUAAAUUUAAAUUUUUUAUAAAUAUUAAAAAUAAAAAUUUUUUUAAUUAUUUUGUUGGGGUGAUAAAAAAAUUAAAAAAACUUUUUUUUUUUCUUAACAUAAAUAAGUGAAUAAAUGAUCCAUAAUUUAUGAUUAAAAGAAUAAAUUACCUUAGGGAUAACAGCGUAAUUUUUUUUUUUAGUUCAAAUAAAAAAAAAAGUUUGCGACCUCGAUGUUGGAUUAAGAUAAAAUUUAAAUGCAGAAGUUUAAAAUUUUGAUCUGUUCGAUCAUUAAAAUCUUACAUGAUCUGAGUUCAAACCGGUGUAAGCCAGGUUGGUUUCUAUCUUUAGAGAAUUAAAAUAUUUUAGUACGAAAGGAUUAAAUAUUUAAAAUAAUUUUAAUUAAAGAAUUUUAAUAAUUUUUAUUAUAUUUAAUUAAUUAUAA